rnacentral:rRNA from 1 species
CCUACGGGUGGCAGCAGUGAGGAAUAUUGGUCAAUGGACGAGAGUCUGAACCAGCCAAGUCGCGUGAAGGAUGACUGCCCUAUGGGUUGUAAACUUCUUUUUUAUGGGAAUAAAAUGUUCCACGUGUGGGAUUUUGUAUGUACCAUAUGAAAAAGGAUCGGCUAACUCCGUGCCAGCAGCCGCGGUAAUAAGGAGGAUCCGAGCGUUAUCCGGAUUUAUUGGGUUUAAAGGGAGCGUAGGUGGAUUGUUAAGUCAGUUGUGAAAGGUUGCGGCUCAACCGUAAAAGUGCAGUUGAAACUGGCAGUCUUGAGUACAGGAGAGGUGGGCGGAAUGCGUGGUGUAGCGGUGAAAUGCUUAGAUAUCACGCAGAACACCGAUUGCGAAGGCAGCUCACGGGACUGCAACUGACACUGAGGCUCGAAAGUGUGGGUAUCAAACAGGAUUAGAUACCCGGGUAGUC